GCCUGGGUGGCUCAGUCGGUUGAGCGUCCGACUUCAGCUCAGGUCACGAUCUCACGGUCCGUGAGUUCGAGCCCCACUUCGGGCU
rnacentral:tRNA from 1 species